CCGGACCUGACUGCUAUCGGAUUGGUACUAAGCCAUGCGAGUCAUUGUAGCAAUACAAGGCGGACGGCUCAGUAACACGUAGUCAACCUAACUCGUGGACGUGGAUAACCUCGGGAAACUGAGAAUAAACCACGAUAGAUCAUAGUGCCUGGAAUGGCUUAUGGUCCAAACAGUUUACUGCCAUGGGAUGGGACUGCGGCCUAUCAGCUUGUUGGUGAGGUAAUGGCCCACCAAGGCGAUUACAGGUACGGGCUCUGAGAGGAGAAGCCCGGAGAUGGGUACUGAGACACGGACCCAGGCCCUAUGGGGCGCAGCAGGCGAGAAACCUUAGCAAUGUGCGAAAGCACGACUGGGUCAGUCCGAGUGAUUCCUGAUAAAGGAGUCUUUUGCCUGUCCUAAAAGCACAGGUGAAUAAGGGGUGGGCAAGUCUGGUGUCAGCCGCCGCGGUAAUACCAGCACCUCGAGUGGUCAGGACGUUUAUUGGGCCUAAAGCAUCCGUAGCCGGCUCUGCAAGUCUUCGGUUAAAUCCACCUGCUCAACAGAUGGGCCGCUGGAGAUACUACAGAGCUAGGGAGUGGGAGAGGCAGACGGUAUUCAGUGGGUAGGGGUAAAAUCCUCUGAUCCAUUGAGGACCACCAGUGGCGAAGGCGGUCUGCCAGAACACGUUCGACGGUGAGGGAUGAAAGCUGGGGGAGCAAACCGGAUUAGAUACCCGGGUAGUCCCAGCUGUAAACGAUGCAAACUCGGUGAUGCAUUGGCUUAUGGCCAAUGCAGUGCCGCAGGAAGCCGUUAAGUUUGCCGCCUGGGAAGUACGGACGCAAGUCUGAAACUUAAAGGAAUUGGCGGGGAGCACCACAAGGGUGAAGCCUGCGGUUCAAUUGAGUCAACGCCGG
rnacentral:rRNA from 1 species